AGGACGAACGCCGGCGGCGUGCUUAACACAUGCAAGUCGAGCGGAAAGGCCCUUCGGGGUACUCGAGCGGCGAACGGGUGAGUAACACGUGAGUAACCUGCCCCAAACUUUGGGAUAACCCCCGGAAACGGGGGCUAAUACCGGAUACGACACAUGGCUGCAUGGUUUGUGUGUGGAAAGUAUUUUUUGGUUGGGAUGGGCUCGCGGCCUAUCAGUCUUGGUUGGUGGGGUGAUGGCCUACCAAGGCGACGACGGGUAG
rnacentral:rRNA from 1 species